UACAGAGGUGGCAAGCGUUGUUCGGAAUUACUGGGCGUAAAGGGCGCGUAGGCGGUUCGUUAAGUCCUGUGUGAAAUCCCCCGGCUCAACUGGGGAACUGCACAGGAAACUAGCGGGCUUGAGUUCGGGAGAGGGAAGCGGAAUUCCGGGUGUAGCGGUGAAAUGCGUAGAUAUCCGGAGGAACACCGGUGGCGAAGGCGGCUUCCUGGACCGACACUGACGCUGAGACGCGAAAGCGUGGGGAGCGAACAGG
rnacentral:rRNA from 1 species